UACGUAGGGGGCUAGCGUUAUCCGGAAUUACUGGGCGUAAAGGGUGCGUAGGUGGUUAUUUAAGUCAGAAGUGAAAGGCUACGGCUCAACCGUAGUAAGCUUUUGAAACUGAGAAACUUGAGUGCAGGAGAGGAGAGUAGAAUUCCUAGUGUAGCGGUGAAAUGCGUAGAUAUUAGGAGGAAUACCAGUUGCGAAGGCGGGUCUCUGGACUGUAACUGACACUGAGGCACGAAAGCGUGGGGAGCAAACAGG
rnacentral:rRNA from 1 species